rnacentral:tRNA from 1 species
GGUGGGUUGGCUUAGUGGUUAGAGCGUAGGUCUUGUAACCAAAAGGUUGCGGGAUCGAAUCCUGCUAGAGGCUG